rnacentral:rRNA from 1 species
GAGUUUGAUCAUGGCUCAGAUUGAACGCUGGCGGCAGGCCUAACACAUGCAAGUCGAGCGGUAGAGAGAAGCUUGCUUCUCUUGAGAGCGGCGGACGGGUGAGUAAAGCCUAGGAAUCUGCCUGGUAGUGGGGGAUAACGUUCGGAAACGGACGCUAAUACCGCAUACGUCCUACGGGAGAAAGCAGGGGACCUUCGGGCCUUGCGCUAUCAGAUGAGCCUAGGUCGGAUUAGCUAGUUGGUGAGGUAAUGGCUCACCAAGGCGACGAUCCGUAACUGGUCUGAGAGGAUGAUCAGUCACACUGGAACUGAGACACGGUCCAGACUCCUACGGGAGGCAGCAGUGGGGAAUAUUGGACAAUGGGCGAAAGCCUGAUCCAGCCAUGCCGCGUGUGUGAAGAAGGUCUUCGGAUUGUAAAGCACUUUAAGUUGGGAGGAAGGGCAGUUACCUAAUACGUGAUUGUUUUGACGUUACCGACAGAAUAAGCACCGGCUAACUCUGUGCCAGCAGCCGCGGUA